GACGAACGCUGGCGGCGUGCUUAACACAUGCAAGUCGAACGGUAAGGCCCUUCGGGGUACACGAGUGGCGAACGGGUGAGUAACACGUGGGUGAUCUGCCCUGCACUUCGGGAUAAGCCUGGGAAACUGGGUCUAAUACCGGAUAGGACUCCGGACUGCAUGGUCUGGGGUGGAAAGCUUUUGCGGUGUGGGAUGGGCCCGCGGCCUAUCAGCUUGUUGGUGGGGUGAUGGCCUACCAAGGCGACGACGGGUAGCCGGCCUGAGAGGGUGACCGGCCACACUGGGACUGAGUUACGGCGCAGACUCCUACGGGAGGCAGGAGUGGGGAGUAUUGCACAAUGGGCGCAAGCCUGAUGCAGCGACGCCGCGUGAGGGAUGACGGCCUUCGGGUUGUAAACCUCUUUCAGCAUCGACGAAGCGAAAGUGACGGUAGGUGCAGAAGAAGGACCGGCCAACUACGUGCCAGCCGCCGCAGUAA
rnacentral:rRNA from 1 species